UACGAAGGGGGCUAGCGUUGCUCGGAAUCACUGGGCGUAAAGGGCGCGUAGGCGGCCUGCUAAGUCGAGCGUGAAAUCCCUGGGCUCAACCCAGGAACUGCGUCCGAUACUGGUUGGCUUGAAUCCGGGAGAGGGACGUGGAAUUCCAGGUGUAGCGGUGAAAUGCGUAGAUAUCUGGAGGAACACCGGUGGCGAAGGCGACGUCCUGGACCGGCAUUGACGCUGAGGCGCGAAAGCCAGGGGAGCAAACGGG
rnacentral:rRNA from 1 species